UUAUACCACCAGCCUGCCAGUGUGUCUCCCGAAUUGUUAUCAGAUCGAGAUAAUUCGAAGACCAACAAACGCGACGAUCAAAUUUAAAUUGGAACAAACUCAAAGUCUGAAUUUUCGCGACAACAUUAACAUGAAACUGAUCAAAAUGACUCGCGACGACUUCCGAUUUUAAAUUUAAAUUGGAACAAACUCAAAGUCUGAAUUUUCGCGACAACAUUAACAUGAAACUGAUCAAAAUGACUCGCGACGACUUCCGAUUUUAAAUUUAAAUUGGAACAAACUCAAAGUCUGAAUUUUCGCGACAACAUUAACAUAAAACUGAUCAAAAUGACUCGCGACGACUUCCGAUUACGACUGCGUCAAAGACGGAAGCUGCGACCUCAAUAUUAUAAUACAUCCUGAAGAGAUAACAGUCUGUGCAGUUUGCCCAAGAUUUUGCAAUAAACAAAGUCAGUGAAUGCUCGUCCAGCUGCCGUUACAACUCGACAAUUUAGACUGAAACCAGUUUAUAGAAUCUGCAUACUUGUUCUCAAGCUUAUAUCGAGUGUCUCUCAAAGAUAGUUCUCAUCAUUUAUAUAGCGUCAUAUUUUUAUUUUAUACAUCUGCGA